AUGCUAUAAUGUCUGAACAGCCACUGCACUUGGGCAACAUAGCAAGACCCUGUCUCUUAAAAAAACAGUCUCCAUUUAUAUAGCAUUCAGGAAUAGGAAAAACUACAGGGAAGGCAAACACAUCAAUGGCCUCCUGAGCUGGGAAUGGGAGUUAAUUACAAAGGGACAUGAGGGAAUUUUUAGGGGUGGUGUGACUUCAAUAUCUUGACUGCUGAUGAUUGAUUGAUUACAUGUUUGACAGAACUCACAGAACUCUACACUUACGAAGGAAAAAAAGUUUUGUUUUUCUAGCUUAACCAAAGUGGUACCAAACCUUUAAAAUAUCAAGCUUAGAAGAAGGGCUAGAACAUGUCCAUAUUUUACCUCAUUAGAAAUAAAGAAUAGGAUGUUGAAAAUGGUUUGUGCUUUAAGAAGACUGAACCAAGCUAGUAGCUCGGAUUUGGGUGUCCACCACCUCACCUUCCAGGCUUAUAACUGGUAAUUCUGCUCAAGAAUCUGUCCUCAGUGUUUUCAACAUCGAGAAUUAAUUUGAGACAAACUACAUCUAGUUCAUAAACAAAGCUAGAAUUAAAAAGGAUUCCUGUCACAGGCCAAAACUAGUCUACAAACCCUCAGGGUGGCCAAUUCUUGCUUUUAACAACAGCCAAAGAUAUUAAAGAAUUCCAUGAAUACAGAGAUGGAUUUUUAAAAAUACAAGUAUAUAUAAUACUAAAACCCUCAGGAAAGCCAACAUCUUGAGGUACUCUGGCUCCAGAAGAAUCCAUUUCUGUGGGCCAUAUUCCAAGAUCUAAGAGGUGUAUCUGUUUGACUUUACUGAGUGGCUUUUCACCUGACAGACCAGACAAACUUAAAAGCUUUCAAGUCAAACUUUGGUAGGCAAAGGUAAAGUAUGUCUUUUGUUUUAGAGUAGGUGAGCCUGCAGGUCAAUUUGUCAAAAAUAUUAACUAACCACAACUAUGAGACACUACACACAGUGUAGUUCCUGCCUUCAUGGGGCUCAGUUCUGUUCACUGGAGUGGGUUUUAUAUAUACCCAAUAAAUAGAAGUGUGACUGGCCUGUCCAAUCUCGAAGUCAGAAAAGGGCCAUGGGUAGCAUCACAUCCUUAGAGACUGGAUGCAGUCACCAGACUUUGAGGAAAGAGGGAAAUUCAUCCCAACCUGUCAUGCUAGCUAAGAGAGCAAAAAGUCAAGAAUAUGAACAAUGUGACCUAGGCUCUGAAAGCUGACCAAGACACCAUCUAAAUAAACCUGGACUGACAAUGAAAGGACUUUCGUUCUCCCUUAAAAUAAUGUUCAAAAUAGCAAGGAAAUAGAGCUUCAGAUGUGUCUUGUGUCACCUGGUCUUUCAUGUGACAGUCAAAGAUCCACAAUGUGAAAGUGGGAUUAACCCAUCUGUGAAGUUCUAGUCUGUGCAGUCACAAUUGACCACUGCAGGUUUUAACAAGAGGACCCUGUGGGGACACAACAGACUUCAAUUCUUUAGCCAGCUUUUCCUUGGCUCAGAAUAUGGAGAGAGCUGGAGGCCCUCCAAACCAGAGGAUGUUCGCUGGUCUUCCCAGGAGAGAAAUGAACUAUCUUUUGUAAAAGUAAGUUUCAAAGGCCAAGUGUAGUGGCUCAUGCCUGUAAUCCCAGCACUUUGGGAGGCCAAGGCAGGUGGAUAACUUGAGGUCAGGAGUUCAAAACCAGCUUGGCAAACAUGGUGAGAUCCUGUGUCUACUAAAAAUACAAAAAAAAAAUUAGCCAGGCAUACUGGUACAUGCCUGUAAUCCCAGCUACUUGGGAAGCUGAGGUAUGAGAACUGCUUGAAUCCAAGAGGCGGAGGUUGCAGUGAGCCGAGAUCGAGCCACUACGCUCCAGCCUGGGUGACAGAGUGAGACUCUGCCUCAAAAAAAAAAAAAAAAAAAGGAAGUUGCAAAACAGUAAAGGAACUCUCAACCCCUGCAUUACAUGAUUAGGACAACAAAUAGAAAAGUAAUAAAGUUUACGAUC
rnacentral:lncRNA from 10 species